AUUGAACGCUGGCGGCAGGCCUAACACAUGCAAGUCGAGCGGAUGAAGGGAGCUUGCUCCUGGAUUCAGCGGCGGACGGGUGAGUAAUGCCUAGGAAUCUGCCUGGUAGUGGGGGAUAACUUCCGGAACCGGGCGCUAAUACCGCAUACGUCCUGAGGGAGAAAGUGGGGGAUCUUCGGACCUCACGCUAUCAGAUGACCCUAGGUCGGAUUAGCUAGUUGGUGGGGUAAAGGCCUACCAAGGCGACGAUCCGUAACUGGUCUGAGAGGAUGAUCAGUCACACUGGAACUGAGACACGGUCCAGAAUACUACGGGAGGAAGCAGUGGGGAAGAUUGGAGAAUGGGCGAAAGAAUGAUCAAGCCAUGCCGCGUGUGUGAAGAAGGUCUUCGGAGGGUAAAGAACUUUAAGUUGGGAGGAAGGGCAGUAAGUUAAUACCUUGCUGUUUUGACGUUACCAACAGAAUAAGCACCGGCUAACUUCGUG
rnacentral:rRNA from 1 species